UUUUACUGUUCCUGAACCUACACUUAUUUUAAACAGUAAUAAUGAUUGCAUAAAACUCAAAGGCUGUGUUUACACCUCCUGAAAGUCCCAAACACCUGGGGCCUGUUUCACGAAGCAGGUUUAUUGAAAACUCUGAGUUUGUUAACCCUGAAAUGAGGGAAACUCAGAGUUUUCCGUUUCACGAAGCGAGGUAACUCAACCCUGAGACAGAGGGGUAACUCGAGCCAGUUUCACAAAGAGGGGUAACUUAAACUCUCGGUCAGUUACCGCAGUAACAGACUCUAUAACUUUAACCUGGUCGCCAGCAGGUUUAUCUCAGAAAACCUCGAGUUUCUCUCUGUCUCCGCCCUCUUUCAGCCACACACGCUGUUUCAUUUCCUCAUUCAUUCAGUAAGUAAGCGAGCGAGUUUUGGUGUAGAACAGCUUUUAUUAACGAUCCAGUGGAUAAAGGAUCAGCAUUACUGCACAGAUAAUUAAAUAUUCGUCAGUAGAUUGUUAUCAGUCCGAGCAUAAAUGUUCUCGCAUUUCCGGACAAUUAUCUGUUUCAGUGGUACCGUUUCGUAAUCGUUUCAAGUCCAUACAACCUAAUCCGUCCUUACAUUUACAUUACCAACCUUAGUCAUGCUCUCACAUCCAGCAGAUAUUGUGUGUUGCGCUGUGGUUCUUUGCAAAUGGAAGUUUUUAUAUAAUGUCAGCGAUGCAGAGUAAGGCAAUUGUAUGGAGGACAUUCAGAAAAGUGUUCCUGGCCCUGAAACGACUUUUACCAUCUUUGUGGUUUUCCUGGACAUAAACCUGUCAGAGCAUCAAGGAGCAGUUCCACAGGAUUGCAGGUGAAUGAUGUAGAGAUCUGUUAAAUUCGUUUUAAAUCACAUUUUGUUAAUGACAUUGUGCUGCAACCUCAGACUGGGAUUAGUCAUUUUAAUUUCUUUUAGGAUUUCCCAGUGUGAUUGGCUGCAUAGAUGCACACACAUCCCCAUUACAACUCCCUCACAUCAUGAACAGGAAGUCCAUUCACAGCAUAAAUGUCCAGAUCAUAUGUGAUGCUGCAUACAGCAUUUCUAAUGUGGAGGCCACGUGACCUGGGUCUGUUCAUGACUCCAGGAUUUAUGGAGAGUCUAACCUGAGCAACAGACUGCAGCGUGGAGAGUUUGAUGGCCUUCUGCUGGGUGACAGGGGUUACCAUGCCAACCCAGGCUGAUGACCUCAUACCCUGAGAUGACCUCAUACCCUGACCCUGAACCAGGCCCCCAACAGAACUUCAACCGGAUUCACUGCAGGACCAGAGCCCGGGUGGAGAUGACCAUAGGCCUGCUGAAAGCCCGUUUCCAGCCCCUACGUCUCCUCAGGGUGACCCCUGAGAGGGCCUGUGAUAUUACUGUGGCAUGUGUUGUGCUUCAUAAUAUUACCACUAUUAGAGGAGAGCAACACCCUGCCCUACAAACUGAAGACCCAGAUGAUGACCCCAUCCACCUGCAGCUAUCCAGGACAGCAGAGCAGUCAGAGACACCAUGCAAUAAUCACUUGAGAGUUUAAGUCACCAUCAUCACCACCACAGCAAAUAAAGACACGAUACACAUUUCAUUUGGUCUUCUUUAUUUCUUACAAAUAAAAGAGAUAGUUCAGUUAAUGUUCCAGUAGUUAACAUAAUUCACCUGUAACCAUCACCCUCCUCUAACUUGUUCACCAGUAUUUCAAUUUCCAGAUCUGCCCUCCUAAUCUGUUUUUUGGAUUUUUCUCAGCAAAUGCAGUUUGUAAAUCUGUUUUACUGAUAACUGGGAAUACAUAGAGGACAUUAAAUUAUACAGUUGCACAUGAAUUCCAUGGAAUGAACCUCUGGUGUUUCCUGAACAUCCAUCUCACUGUGUCAGUCUGUGCAGUGGAAGUUGAGGAACCAUCCUGCUGCUGUCCAGCCAUGCUCUGUUAAAGAGGAUGAGAAUGUGCAAUACUUCAGUGUAGGUUAAAUGUCACACUCUAUAUUCCACCCAAAAUGUGAAUGGGAAGAGAACUAUCAGUAACUUACCUCUAUAUGCCUUUCUGGAUCCCCCUCUGUAAAGGCAGUAGACACAGUUUCAUCCUCUUCAUCCUAGAUCAGUGACAUGUUUCAGUACACUUAAACUACCAUUUGGAUAAAUCUUUGGAGUGUUGUCUACUUACAAUUACAAGGUCUGUUGUGGUGUGAAGGGGCGAAAAGACAAAAAAGACACAAAAGAGAACUAAAUAAUCAUAUAUAUAUAUAUAUAUAUAUAUAU